UACGUAGGGGGCAAGCGUUGUCCGGAUUUAUUGGGCGUAAAGCGCGUGUAGGCGGCCCGGCACGUCCGUCGCUGAAAUCCCCCGGCUCAACCGGGGAAGUGGCGGGGAUACGGCCGGGCUGGAGGGGGGUAGGGGGAGCCGGAACUUCCGGUGGAGCAGUGAAAUGCGUUGAGAUCGGAAGGAACGCCCGUGGCGAAAGCGGGCUCCUGGACCCCACCUGACGCUGAGACGCGAAAGCCAGGGGAGCGAACGGG
rnacentral:rRNA from 1 species